CGCUCACGCCCGGUCGUA
rnacentral:snRNA from 1 species